GGCAGAACCAAGCUUGGAGGACCAUUAAAAGGGAGGGAAAACUCGAACCUGCCUUUAGAGUUUCCCAAACCUGGGAUGGAGGAUUGUCUGUGAUGCGACCCCCAGUUUAGAAGUUUAACUGCAAACUGCAGUUCUAAGCCUGUUCCUGCUAUGUCUGAAUGUGAACAUAGUGUCUCUGUGCCUCCCUGCCUCCUCAUCUACUUAAUCAGAGGGCCCUUCCAUUUUGGUACCCAGUACAUCUUUGGAAGGCAAGCUGCAUUCAAAAUCAAGAUUGUUAAGGAAGAGUAAAGAGUUGCAUUCUGAUGCCCAAGAAUCCUGGGGAGUGUUUCAUCCAGAUGCACUAAGCGACUACAGAGAAGGCCCAUUCCCGAGUUGCUACCAGACAAGCUGAUCUCUCUCAGUGUGCAGUGGGGAUCAUGCAGAAGAAGGCACUCUCCCAGAUACUUCUGCUUCACUCCAUAACUGGGGGGAUGCAAGAUGCAUUUAGAAAACUGAGAUGCCCCUGCUUCCGACUUAUAAGCCAAGUUUGUUCUUCCAGUAGCUGUACAGUCUCCAGCCCUGGUUGCUCAGCUGAAGAUCCUGAGUCCUGUAACCCAUAUUUUUACAAGUGCCCAGGUACUCUAGCACUCGAUGUGGUCCUUGUUGACCCAGGCGACAACUGAUCCGAUGUCCAUCACAAAGACUAUCAAGAUCAAAGAGAUGCUCCUUACGAUUGUUUCAGUAUUCAUGACUGGAGGCCAUAAGAAACAGAUGAGGCUCCUGUUGAGUAAUUAUGUGCACAGUACUUGUGCAACUAAAGUGCUUUGUGUUGAUCCUUUUGCAAGAUGUACUUGUUACAUUUUACUGUUAGCAGAUGAUAGCUGUGUGCCACAGAUUAUCUGUAUUAUUAACUUCCAUUGUUUAUUGCAUUUUUUUACCAAGGAUUUCAUAACAAUUUUCUGCUAUUAUUUAUUUUAAUGUUCAUUGGGAAGGGCUUCUCCCCCCGCCCCCAGCUAGAAUGGGAGCAUUCUCCUUUCCCAAGUUAUGUUUUCCCAUAGAAAUAAAAAUAGCUCUGACAAACAUUCCUAAACAGCACCACUUUUUAAAAAGUUCUAUCUAUCUAUCUAUCUAUCUAUCUAUCUAUCUAUCUAUCUAUCUAUAUUUAUAGUUUCCUCAAGACAAUAUGGCACAAGGAAAAAUUAAAUGCAUAUUUUUUUAUAAACACAGACAGCAUUAUAUGAAAAGAGGAUUAUUAAUGGAACAACUUAAGCAAAGGCAUCAUCAUGACAACAAAUGGCUUAAAACAAUUUAUGUUAAGUGAUUUCAGCAUUCCACAGCAUCUUUGAAUACUACUGCAGACUGUGCAAUUCAUCCCACAAAUGGCGGCAAUUUCAGUGAGGAAUCAUUAUACAUCAUCCACAGCUUCUUUUUAUUAUUCAGUAUGUCAAAUUUGUUAUCAAAAGGGUUCUGCCAUUUCUGUUAUUAUAUGAUGUACAUAUCCAUAGCAUCAAAUUCAAAUGUAUCAAGUGCCAAACUCCUGAUUUGUUGAUUAUCCCUCAUCUGUAUCUAUGGAUAUUAUGGUUUAUUUAAAAAGUAACCACAACAAAUAUUUGUAAAAUGCCCUGCUUUUUUGACAUUUACUUUUGAUUAUAUCAUAGUCUUUUCAAACUUUUAUUUCUCUAUAGGACUUUGUGUGUGUGCUACCCCACUCCUCCCAUUCAUGAAAUGGUAUCCCUCCCAAAGAUAAUUGCAGCCCAUGGCAGUGAACUUAGUGGGAAGAGUGAGAGAAAAGUUCAUGGGGUUCACAGGAUCAAUGUUUAAGCAAAAGAAUAAUAGCCAAA